GACGAAGGAUGCAAGCGUUAUCCGGAUUCAUUGGGUUUAAAGGGAGCGUAGGCGGCCUUGUAAGUCAGUGGUGAAAUCUUUCCGCUUAACGGAAAAACUGCCAUUGAUACUGCUUGGCUUGAGUACAGAUGCUGUGGGCGGAAUAUGACAUGUAGUGGUGAAAUACAUAGAGAUGUCAUAGAACACCAAUUGCGAAGGCAGCUCACAAAACUGUAACUGACGCUGAGGCUCGAAAGUGUGGGGAUCAAACAGG
rnacentral:rRNA from 1 species